rnacentral:tRNA from 1 species
GGGGAGGUGCCAGAGUGGACGAUUGGGGCCGCCUGCUAAGCGGCUGUGGGGGGAAACCUCCACCCAGGGUUCGAAUCCCUGCCUCCCCG